AAACAGAAGUCAGAGCUCAAGAUGACCUUCACCAUGGCCUGGUCCUGUCUCUCCCUCAUAUUCCUUGUUCAGUGCACAGGGUCUUGGGCCCAGUCUGUGCUGACUCAGCCGCCCUCACUCUCUGGGACUCCAGGACAGAAGGUCACCAUCUCCUGCACUGGAAGCAGCAGCAAUAUUGGUAGUGAUAAUGUGCAUUGGUACCAGCAGUUCCCAGAGACUGCCCCCAAACUUCUCAUCUAUGGUGAUAGUAAUCGACCCUCAGGAGUCCCUGAUCGUUUCUCUGGCUCCAAGUCUGGCAACUCUGGUUCACUGACCAUCACUGGGCUCCAGCCUGAGGAUGAGGCUGUCUAUUAUUGUCAGUCUUAUGAUUACAGCCUUAAUGCUCUCACAGUGCUCCAGGCUCAUGGGGAAGUAAGACAAAAAACCCUUUACCAUCUGUCAGGAGGGCAAACACCCAGCAGCUUUGUUAAAGUCUAG